rnacentral:rRNA from 1 species
AUGUGCUCACACAUGGGCUGCCGAGAAUACUGUAUAGCUAGGGAGUGGGAGAGGUAGACGGUACUCGGUAGGAAGGGGUAAAAUCCUUUGAUCUAUCGAUGACCACCAGUGGCGAAGGCGGUCUACCAGAACACGUCCGACGGUGAGGGAUGAAAGCUGGGGGAGCAAACCGGAUUAGAUACCCGGGUAGUCCCAGCUGUAAACUAUGCAAACUCAGUGAUGCAUUGGCUUGUGGCCAAUGCAGUGCCGCAGAGAAGUCGUUAAGUUUGCCGCCUGGGAAGUACGUACGCAAGUAUGAAACUUAAAGGAAUUGGCGGGGGAGCACCACAAGGGGUGAAGCCUGCAGUUCAAUUGGAGUCAACGCCAGAAAUCUUACCCGGAGAGACAGCAGAAUGAAGGUCAAGCUGAAGACUUUACCAGACAAGCUGAGAAGUGGUGCAUGGCCGUCGCCAGCUCGUGCCGUGAGAUGUCCUGUUAGGUCAGGUAACGAGCGAGAUCCCUGCCUCUAGUUGCCACCAUUACUCUCAGGAGCAGUGGGGCGAAUUAGCGGGACUGCCGCAGUUAAUGCGGAGGAAGGAGGGGGCCACGGCAGGUCAGUAUGCCCCGAAAAUCGUC